GACGAACGCUGGCGGCGUGCUUAACACAUGCAAGUCGAACGGUGAAGGGGAGCUUGCUCCCCGGAUCAGUGGCGAACGGGUGAGUAACACGGGGGCAACCUGCCCCAGACUUCGGGAUAACGCUUCGAAAGAGGUGCUAAUACCGGAUACGAACUCCUUGGGCAUCCUUGGGGUUGGAAAGUUUUUCGGUCUGGGAUGGGCACGCGGCCUAUCAGCUUGGUGGUGAGGCAACGGCUCACCAAGGCGACGACGGGUAGCCGGCCUGGGAGGGCGACCGGCCACACUGGGACUGAGACACGGCCCAGACUCCUACGGGAGGCAGCAGUGGGGAAUAUUGCGCAAUGGGCGAAAGCCUGACGCAGCAACGCCGCGUGAGGGAUGACGGCCUUCGGGUUGUAAACCUCUUUCAGCAGGGAAGAAGCGAAAGUGACGGUACCUGCAGAAGAAGCACCGGCUAACUACGUGCCAGCAGCCGCGGUAA
rnacentral:rRNA from 1 species